rnacentral:rRNA from 1 species
UCUGGUUGAUCCUGCCGGAGGCUACCGCUAUUGGAGUUCGAUUAAGCCAUGCGAGUCGCGAGAAAUUAGAUUCUCGGCGUACCGCUCAGUAACACGUGGGUAACCUGCCCUAUGCUGGAUAAUAACCUCGGGAAACUGAGAAUAAUGAUCCAUAGUUCACUACGCCUGGAACGGUGAGUGGAUGAAAGCUCCGGCGGCAUAGGAUGGGCCUGCGGCGUAUCAGGUUGUAGGGGGUGUAACGUACCCUCUAGCCCUCUACGCGUACGGGUGUUGGGAGACAUAGCCCGGAGAUGGAUUCUGAGACACGAAUCCAGACCCUACGGGGUGCAGCAGGCGCGAAAACUUGGCAAUGCGAGAAAUCGUGACCAGGGAACUCCAAGUGCAUCGGGUAAGACCGGUGCUUUUCUUGACUCUAAAUAGGUCUUGGAAUAAGGGGUGGGUAAGGACGGUGCCAGCCGCCGCGGUAAUACCGGCGCCUCAAGUGGUAGUCGCUUUUAUUGGGCCUAAAACGUCCGUAGCCGGUCUGAUACAUUCGUGGGUAAAUCAACCAGCUCAACUGGUUGAAUUCUGCGAGGACGGUCAGACUUGGGACCGGGAGAGGUGUGGGGUACGCUCAGGGUAGGGGUAAAAUCCUGUCAUCCUGAGCGGACCACCUGUUGCGAAGGCGCCACACUAGAACGGAUCCGACGGUCAGGGACGAAGCCUAGGGGCACGAACCGGAUUAGAUACCCGGGUAGUCCUAGGUGUAAACGCUGUGGACUUGAU